GAUGAAGAACGUAGCGAAAUGCGAUAAGUAAUGUGAAUUGCAGAAUUCAGUGAAUCAUCGAAUCUUUGAACGCACAUUGCGCCCGCCAGUAUUCUGGCGGGCAUGCCUGUCCGAGCGUCAUUACAACCCUCAAGCUCAGCUUGGUGUUGGGCCCCGCCGCCCCGGCGGGCCCUAAAGUCAGUGGCGGUGCCGUCCGGCUCCGAGCGUAGUAAUUCUUCUCGCUCUGGAGGUCCGGUCGUGUGCUCGCCAGCAACCCCCAAUUUUUUUCAGGUUGACCUCGGAUCAGGUAGGGAUACCCGCUGAACUUAAGCAUAUCAAUAAGCGGAGGA
rnacentral:misc_RNA from 1 species